rnacentral:rRNA from 1 species
AGUGAACGCUGGCGGUAGGCCUAACACAUGCAAGUCGAACGGCAGCACAGUAAGAGCUUGCUCUUACGGGUGGCGAGUGGCGGACGGGUGAGGAAUACAUCGGAAUCUACUUUUUCGUGGGGGAUAACGUAGGGAAACUUACGCUAAUACCGCAUACGACCUACGGGUGAAAGCAGGGGAUCUUCGGACCUUGCGCGAUUGAAUGAGCCGAUGUCGGAUUAGCUAGUUGGCGGGGUAAAGGCCCACCAAGGCGACGAUCCGUAGCUGGUCUGAGAGGAUGAUCCGCCACACUGGAACUGAGACACGGUCCAGACUCCUACGGGAGGCAGCAGUGGGGAAUAUUGGACAAUGGGCGCAAGCCUGAUCCAGCCAUACCGCGUGGGGGAAGAAGGCCUUCGGGUUGUAAAACCCUUUUUUUUGGAAAGAAAAGCAGCAGGUUAAAACCCCCCUGUUUUGACGGUACCCAAAGAAAAAGCACCGGCUAACUUCGUG